CUGACACAUUAACUCUAAUAGAAAUGAGCCAAAGCAAGAUCUUAGAGCCAAAAGGAAAGAGAACAGAGAGGUCAGAACGUCUCUGCAAUUUCUGAGAAAGUGCCAAGGCCAAUGAUGUGUUUGAACCGAGGCACUAGGUUCCUAAUGCAAGUGGAAAUCUCUACAGACAACUGAGGGGAGGGGUCAGGGAGAUGAGAUGAUGCUCAAAUAGCCAGAACUCACUGCUCAUCUGCCACUAACAAAAGUUAUUCUUUAUAAACACAUGAGCAAACAGGAACUCCCUAAAGGCAGUCAAAGACGACCUCAGUUUGGUGGCACUGCUUUAUCAAGCUGUCUUCCGUCUUCGGAACGGGGUGUGCCUGGGGAUGUGCGUGAAGAGGAAACAAAGAAGAACCCGGAGCGGCCAGGAGGACUCAGGAGUUGUGUGGCAAGCUACUGCGUCCUGACUCAGGCCAAACCUAGUUUCCAAGAGUAAUUACGAAUUUCCUCAAAACAAACGGUUACGGUUGAGUUUGUAACAUGUAAAGACCAAUAUGGGUUUUACAAAUCGAGUGAGGAAAGAGUAUGUUGAGUUUUUGAAUAUUCAACUGAUCUUUCUCUUAAAUAAAAAUUGAGAGCACUA